rnacentral:rRNA from 1 species
UUAAACGGCCGCGGUAUCCUAACCGUGCAAAGGUAGCGUAAUCACUUGUCCCCUAAAUAGGGACUAGUAUGAAUGGUUAAAUGAGGAUAGACCUGUCUCUCAUGGAAAAUCAGUGAAACUGAACUCCCAGUACAAAUGCUGGGAUAUACACAUAAGACGAGAAGACCCUGCGGAGCUUUUAAACAACCCUCAAACAAUAAAUUGAGUACGAGUUUUCAGUUGGGGCGACUUCGGAACAAAACCAAGCUUCCGAGCAUAAGAGAUCAUCUCUUGCAACGGCUGACAAGCCAAAGCACUAAAAUAAUGACCCGGGUAAAAACCCGAUUAACGAACCAAGUUACCCCAGGGAUAACAGCGCUAUCUUCUUUUAGAGUCCAUAUCAACAAGUAAGGCUUACGACCUCGAUGUUGGAUCAGGACAC